UACGAAGGGGGCUAGCGUUGCUCGGAAUCACUGGGCGUAAAGCGCACGUAGGCGGACUCUCAAGUCAGAGGUGAAAGCCCAGGGCUCAACCUUGGAACUGCCUUUGAAACUAGGUAGCUAGAAUUCUGGAGAGGUCAGUGGAAUUCCGAGUGUAGAGGUGAAAUUCGUAGAUAUUCGGAAGAACACCAGUGGCGAAGGCGACUGACUGGACAGAUAUUGACGCUGAGGUGCGAAAGCGUGGGGAGCAAACAGG
rnacentral:rRNA from 1 species